AUACGUAGGGGGCGAGCGUUAUCCGGAAUUAUUGGGCGUAAAGAGUGCGUAGGCGGUUUCUUAAGCGCGGGGUGAAAGGCCGUGGCGUAACCAUUGUUAGCCUUGCGAACUGGGAGACUUGAGUGCUGGCGAGGAAAGCGGACUUCCUAGUGGAGCGGGUAAAUGCGUAGAUAUUAGGAGGAACACCAGUGGAGAAGGGGGCUUUCUGGACAGUAACUGACGCUGAGGCACGAAAGUGUGGGGAGCAAACAGGAUUAGAUACCCUGGUAGUCCACACCGUAAACGAUGAGCACUAGGUGUCGGGUCCGCAAGGAUUCGGUGCCGCAGUUAACGCAUUAAGUGCUACGCCUGGGGAGUACGUACGCAAGUAUGAAACUCAAAGGAAUUGACGGGG
rnacentral:rRNA from 1 species